rfam:Lactobacillus buchneri CD034, complete genome.
AGAUAACAUUAGGGGAGCCAAUCGGCUGAGACGGAACAUCUUCGGACCCUUCGAACCUGAUCUGGUUUGCGCCAGCGUAGGGAAGUGUUAAAAGAAGCCA